AGAAAUUAAAAACGAGAAUUGUUUUCCAGUUAAGGAGAUAGACCAAUUUGAUUUAGUUGCAGAUAAUCAAGAUAAGCAGACCAGCGCCAAAGAUAAUAUUGAACUUUUGUCACCACCAGUUGUAAACCCUUCUAAUGCUUUAAAAUAUAGUGGGCAACCUUUAAAAGAUUUUGUAAGCUCUUCUUUUUCUGAAGACGUGAGUGAAAACUGGAUUCAACUAAAGAAACCAACUUCGCUUGCUGAGUGGAACGGGCAUUUCGAAUGGCUUUCGAGCACUCUUGCUGAUUGUCCUUCUGAUUCAGAAGUAGUACGUGCCGUUAUUAUUGGCUCUCCUAAUGCUGGAAAGUCGAGCCUUUUUAAUUCGUUGCUGGGAGUUAAAUCCAGUACGGUUACACCACGAGUCGAUACGACACUUUUUAAUAUUACUGCCGCUUAUUGGACGUCCCACUUGCAGGUGGUCCUCACCGAUACACCUCCACUCAGCCGAAAAGUUGAGAAUUCUGCUUCCUCCAUUGCCUCUUCUCUUCAAAAUGCAGAC